rnacentral:ribozyme from 1 species
CUGGUACCAAAGGAAAAAAAAAAAAAAAAAAAAAAAAAAAAAAAAAAA